rnacentral:lncRNA from 1 species
CCACAAAUUAUGACGUAGGCUCUCCCACUUGGGGAGACCUUAGACAGAUGCACCACCGAAGUGCAAUGGAGGCCAUCUACCUAGGCCAUGAGCCUUUUUGAUCGCCCAUUGACCCCGUCCAGGUAAGUAUGUUUCCCAGUUCGCCCAUGCUUAUUUUUUAUAGCAGCUGGUCACAUCUCCUCUUCAGUGUUUCGACGGUGUGGGACUCAAGUUGUUAUGUAACGUCAGUCUACUUGUCAGAUAUGGCAAUCGGGAAAAUCUGAAAUGAAUUGUUGAGACUCUCACCUCUCGAGUAACCUCAUGCCUUAUAGUAUGUUGUGAUAUAGGAAAGAUUGGAUUCUGAAGGAAGGAUUCACUUCAACAGUUGGGCCACUCCUCUAGCACUCUGUUUGGCAUUGAAAUUCCAGGCACAAGUCUGCUUCUUGUCCUUGUGACUUGAGAAGCAAGCACCAAGAGGUUCUAAGAUUUUGCCUCCGAAUUAAACGUUUUAAAUUUAAUCAUCAGUCCUUCCACCAAACCAAUUCAUAAAUAUGAAGCAAGUGAAAAAAAAUAUCCAUUUUGCUAUCGUUGUAGCUGCAGAAACACAACUUUGACAAACCUUACCCAAAUGUUCUCGCCUAAGGUUCUACCUUACCAUUCACUUUGCCAUUGAUAUCGACAUCUAAUUGCAAGCAAAAUGUGUCGAGCAACUUAAAUAAGAUAUCAUAUGUCUUUGCUAUGAUAAAAAAUGGAAGAGGCAAAGAGUUCACCUCCAAGACUAGCGGAAUCCCGGUGCGAAACCAGCCUCAUGCAUUUUUCAUUAUUGACCCUUUUAGAGAAUUUGCCUGACUGAGAAGCAAAAGCUUUUUCUGCAUCUCGUAUAACUAAGUUAUGUUCGCAUGUGUGCACAAGUUUCCUUGGCUCAAAGUAGAAUUCAGGCAACAAAACCAUCUCAUUCUCAUCUCUCUACCCCUCUUCCUCAGAAAAAUAUUUAAAAUCAACCAGGCAAUUAUGCAAAAAUCAGUGCUUGCGAUGGUCACAAAUUGGAUUCAACCGAUUUCAAACAGUCAAUAGAAAGGCAAAAGCUGCACACCAAAUAUCGGUUUCGAAAAACAACUUGAUAAAAGCAAGCACAUUCCUGAACGGUGUGUAUAAGAUGUCUCAUUUGGCUCUCAACUGUAGACGAUAAGAUGCCAAGAGAAAGUGGAAUACUCUGUGUGAAACAUCAGAAAAGUAGUUCACUUUCAUCCUAAAUAGUUUUAUUUUGAUAAAUGAAAUAUAUAAUCACAUAAAACCCACUAUCCAAGACCACAAUGAUUUUGUAGCUGCACAGCAAUUGAGACACAUUAACACAGUAUAUAAAAUACAUGGCCUGCAGUGAAAGGAUAAAAUUUUCUCUUCAUCUUCUGAUGUCUGCAUGCAGAUAUACAUAUCGAACCUCUUAACACACGCACUUCAGCGAUUGUGCAUGUUUAUAAUAUAGUGUGAUUGGAGGAGACGAAGUAGACAGUUGGAAUUUCUUAGAAGGCAAUCAAUUUGGCAAUGAUUAGACAACUAAAAAAAUAAUUCAAAGAUAAAUAGAUUGCAUACACUGGCAGGACACAAAAUGAGGCUUUCACCACAAAUCAUGAACCAUAACAUAUUCUUUUAGCAUUGUAACUGCAUCGAUUUGUCUCAUUUUGACAUCAUCAAGGCUAGAAGCAUAGUUGAUUUACAACCUCUUUGAAAGAUGAUCUCCAGUAGUCUUGGCUUGAGGUAGUAUACUAAAUGAAAAACAACACUGUCGACAGAAUUUAGAAGCAUAGUUGAUUUACAACCUCUUCAAAAGAUGAUCUCCAAUAGUUUUGGCUUGAGGUAGUAUACCAAAUAAAAAACAACAUUGUUGGCAGAAGUUUUGUUAUUAUCCACAUUUUGUUUCACGAAAAAAAUUGCUCUCAAAAAGAAUAAAAACGAUUAGAGAACAACCAAAUGGAGCUAUAGAACUUCAAAGCUUUUAUGGAAUCCAUUACACUGCUACACUAUAUUGUCCUAGGAGUUUUCUUAAUCAAUUCAGAUCAGACAAUCAUGCCACACAAGUCCACAUAACCCAUGCAUGGUCAGAUAUCCUGAAGUUACUUCAUAAGAACUGUAAAGUCAAAAUCUUAACACAUCAUAUAUGGGAUGCUUGACAUUUAGAAUCUAUGCCUUGAACAUAAAUUCAUACAUGUUUAUCAUCAGCACAGAUCUUUGUAGUGUACAUUGUAAUUAAUUUUUUAAGUAAUAGUUUGGAGGAAAUCUUUUGUUAAUAAAGAUCACAAGUGCCGCGUCAUUUUCCUGUUUGAUAGCAAGUAUCAUUAAUCGACAUGAAUGCUACCAUAAACUGCAAUGACACCAACUUUCUAUCUAUUAAAAUGAUUACUCUAUUUUCCACUGAUUGUAGGAAGGCUAUUCCCUCAAACUAAUGACCUCUCCAUGGUGAAAGUGAAAGUCUGAAACCUGUCCACAAGGUAAAGGUACUUAAACAAGUUAGGAAACCUACAAUAACUCAUGUACCAAAACAGCAACAGAGCAUGAUUUUUCUUUUAACUAAGAUUUUUAUCAGUUAGAAUCAACUGCCAUAUAGGAAUUGCACAGAUCAUGCUAUCCUCAAACAUGAAGUUCGUUCAACAGUUAUAUAUCUUCCACUUAAAAGUUAACCCCUAAAAUAGAGUUAAUGCUUACAGAAUACAUCGUGUUGAAAGGCCAGUAUGGAUUUAAAUGGUACAAAACCUGUUUUUAUAUAUCAUCAAAUCUCAUAAAUGUCAUCUAUAAGCAAAAUUUAUAUCAUUCAAUUAAAAAAACUAUCUACAGCCUCACCUUAAACUCAAGAAAACUUGUUAUAGUGACUGUUAUAAAUAUCAAAAAGACUCAGAGGUCACAGGCAAUAUCAUUCGUCCAAUGUCAAGUAAAACUUUACCAAGAUAACUAUUCAAGGUUUACAAUCAAAACUAGAAUGAAUGGCUAUCACUCAAAGUAGCAUCAAUAAGAAACCAACAUUCUGUUAUAAUCUCUAACUUCAUCCAACAACCAAAGAUAACAACAAGGUAUGAAAGCAUCAUCAAGAGGUCAGGUGAGAGCUAUCACAAGAUUAACAAAAAUAUCAUCACGAUUCCAAUCAUGUCUAUCAAUGACAGAAAAUUAGUGCAAAUAUUAUCAAAAUUUGCAAAUAUAAACAAUUUUCUUGCUCAUUUGGACAUGAAUACCAAGCUGCAUAUGGAAAAGUACUUCUACAAACUCAAAUUCCACAUAAUUCACAUAAAAUUUAAAGCAAUCUAACCAAAACAGAAAUGUUAUAUCACCAGUCUAAAUUCAAAAAUACAACAUUACCAUCAUCUAUUCUACCGAUGAAUAUUAAGCAUAUCUUUUGCUUCACUCUGUUCCUCCAACAAUCCUUCACUCGCAUACUUAUUCAAUAGCUCCAUCUUCUUCUUCUCCACAACCAUCCUCUCAAUCUCUUUCUCAUCCGGCAACGGCACGUGAACAACAAACUCCCUCUCCUUCUCCAUCCUCUCCUUCUCCUCUCUCUCCCUCUCCCUCCUCUCCUCCUCCACCACAUCCUCCUCUUCCUCAAACAACACCUCCCUCACCGCAGCCCCCACACUAACCACCUCCUUCGCCCCUCUCCUUGCCUCUCUCCUAAUCUCCUCUACUCUCCUCCACUCCUCCUCCGCUUCCGCCCUUAUCUUUGCCUCCGCAGGCCCCUCCACUCUCUCCAAAACUCCAUCCUCAUCAUCCCUAUACCCAUAAUAACUCGCAUCAAUCCUCUUAUAUAUAUCAUAUCUCGUUCUUCUCUUUCGCAAUUCCGGCGGCUUCUCAAACAACUCUCUAACUCCCGGCAACUUCUUUGCAGCUCCAAAAUACCGAUACCCAGGCCCUCGUCCGCUAGGGUUUGGAACAUCCACUAUAUUCCCUUCUAAAUCCGUCAUUUUAGGAGCGUGUUUGGCAUAAUUCGAGCCGCCAAGUUCGACAAUACGGCGUUCCCAAUGUGACUUUUCCCGUAUGAGCUUGUUGAUCUCGUCGUUGAGGUCGCGGAGGCGGUGCUCCCCGAGACCUUCGUUUUGGAUCUCGGCGACUUUGCGGCCUAUCUCUCGCAUGAUUUGUUGACGCCAUUUGUCAGCCUCGGCGAGGUCGCGGCAUUCCGAGGCGAGGUAUGGGCGGCGCUCUUUGGGUUUCUUUUUUUCCUCGGCUUUUAGGGCUAUGAAUCGAUUGAGCAUCGAUUGAGCUUUCUCUUCGUUUCGAGCCAUUUUCUGGAUAGGGGUUUUAGAAUGGAGAUUAAGGUGUCUACGAAGGUUAUAUUGACGGAGAGUGAGAACUAAACCCUAAAAAAAUCAAAACACCUGAUAAACCCAGCAAGAAGAGGGAAGAAACGAGGGAUCUGGAUUCAACGUUGGUACCACUGUAGAAACAGUUUAGGCGGCACGUCUGAUGUCGUUCUUGAUAUUUUUAUAUAUAUAUUUUAAAGAGUUUGUCCUUAAUUACUACUCCAUUUAGAAUUUAAAUUUAUGAGUUAAAUAAAAAGUUGGAGAAGGAAAUUUAAAUAUAUAUAUAUAUUAAAAUGAUUAAUAUUUUCUAUAUUUGAUAAUAACUUUUUCUUAGACUAUUUUGUUAAUUAAUCUUUAACAAAUUUGUAUAAUCAUCUCCAGUUCUCCUUUUUUGUCAAUCAUACUAUAUAUUAUCUUUAUUAUACUACUUUAGCCCCUCAAUUUUGAUUAUUAGAAAUAAAAUUAAAAAAAUAACUUGAUUUUUGAAACUAACAUAAAAUAAAAAGAGAACAUAAAAUUUGAACUUGAAAUUUUUUCUUUAAUAGCUUUUUGAAUGUUAAAACAUAAAUAAAAAACCUACCUAAAUAAUAUAUUUCAAUAGUAAAUAUAUAUUUAUACUUAAAAAAAUUAGCUAGAAUAACUUUAAAAAAUUAACUUAUUUAAAACAUUUUAAAUAAUAUCUUAUUCUUUUAUUACAUUUAAUUAAGUUUUUAUAUUUUUAAUUUUGAGUCAAAUAAAUCUUAAGAGUUAAUGAUUGAUUAAAUAUUAUUCAUCAAAAUAUUACUUGUCAUGCAAUACUAUAUAACAUUAAUGUAUCGUAAUGGAUAAUAAUUUAUCAUGCCAAUGUAACAUGAUAAAUCAUAUGAAAUUUUUCAUCAUUUAUAUUAACAUCGUAUUAAUGCCAUAUCAACAAUGCAUGAGAGUAAAAUAAUAAGUACAUUUUGACUAAUGAUUAUUAAUUAAUUAUUAGUUAUAAAAACUUAUUUGAUUCAAAAUAAAAAUAUAAAAACUUGAUUGACUAUAAUAGAAAAUAAACAAAUUAUUUAAAUAUUUUUAAAUAAUUUAAAGAUUUUUUAAAAUAUUAUAUAAAAAAUUAUUUAGAUAAUUUUAAACUUAAUUAUGAAUCCAUAUAAAAUUUGAAUAAAAUGAAAUUUUUGCCAUGGGGCAAAGAGAAAUGUAAACACAUUAUAUGCGUGUCUAAAACCAUUUUGGUUCAACUAAGUAAUAAAAGUGAAAUGAGAUUUAAAUAGAAAUUAUAAAUUCUAAUUGUAAAAAAAAAUUGAUUGAAUUAUAAUAAAAAAAUUACUCAAACUAAUGAUUAAAUAUCUAAAUAUCUGAACUUUUAUUUUGAAUCAAAUAUACAUUUCUCGCCGUACAUUAAUAAAUUUUUUUAUGUGACAUCAUCAUGCGGUACAAUCAACCGUUAAUAAAAAGAUUUUAUUUGAUACAAAUAAAAGUUUAGGAGUUUUUUUAAGUGUAAUAAAAAGAUAGGGACUAAAUUAUUAUUAUUUUUUUGUAUAGUUCGGAAGCUUAUUUAGAUAUCUUACCUAAGUUUUUAUUUUUCUAUAGUGUUUAAUUAAACUUAUUUACUUUUAUUUUGAGUCAAAUAAAUUUUUAUAACUAAUUUUUAAUUAAUUAUCAUUAAUUAAAAUAUCAUUUAUCAUUUUAUAUUCAUAUGACGUGGACAGUAAAAAAUACGAAGUGACAAUAUCAUCACACAUCACAUUCAUUAUAACAUGUCAAUAUUACGUAAUAGUAAAUGACAAACGACAUUGUAACUAACGAAAAUUAAUCAACCAGUAAUAAUAAAUGUUUAUUUAAUAUAAAAUAAAUAUACAAUAACUUAAUUAAAAGUAAUAAAAAUUUAUUUAAAUUUUACUAAAUAAAAAAUGGAUUUCUUUAGAUAUUAUAUAUUUAAAACUAUAUUAUUAAUAAUGAACUUUUCAAUGAAUUUUACUUCAAAUUUUAAAAAUUAAAAAUAAAUAGAAAUAUUCGAACAUACUGUCCCUUCUAAUUAAUUAUCAAUCUAUCUUAAUUAAUCAAAUUCAAUCUGUUUUAAUCAAUUAACAUCAGGUUCAACCAAUUAAUAGUUAUGCCGCUGAUGAUAGAAGCUAACAAGAAACUGAGCGAUGGUUGAGGUACAUAUGAAGGGAGAAAGAGGAACUGCGGAAGAUUGCAGCAGCAACUGAUUUGGACGACUUACAAUGGUAGCUAUAGCCUAUGUGACUAAAAUUGAUUCUUGAGAGACCCACCACCACCAGAUAACAGUUUGACAGAUGAAUUGUUCUCGAAAAGGCACAAAGUAUUGUCUAAGCAGUGAAAGCUCAAGAGCUUGGUCUGAUAAGAAAAAGUGAUUUAACAUUAUGCAAAGAAAACAAAAUGCGUUUCUUGGAGGUGUUAAUGACAACAGAGUUUUGCCGGCUGCACGCAGAGGGCCGAGACAAACCAUAGAAAUUCCGUCCGGUUGCUCAUAGGGCUGAAAGAGAUUGUUGUAGCUUACGACGGUGCCACUGCUAGCAAGCUUUUAUUUGGUAGGAACUAAAGUACUUUACAAGCUGACUCAUAUGAGGAGAUUGAAUUUCCUCUUCAUUAGUGAUGAGAAUUUAUGAAAUAACAAUAACUAAUAACCUAGUUAAUGGAGUCAAUGAAUACACACAAGCACAAAAUGUCAAAAAACGUUGAAAUUGAUAAGAGAAAUCCAGGCUCAUGCCACUUACUUCACCUUGCGCAAGAAAUAGCUAAAGCUUCUAUGCUGGGAAAACCACGGAAAAUUCACUACAACCUUAGUAGGCUAUUUAAGCCAUCAAUUUCAGUAAAAACAACACCAUCAAUUUUGAGCCAUCAGAUUAUUGCAUGCAAGUCUUGAAAAACAUCAUUGUAAGUUGCCUAUGCUAGGAUUACAACACAUCAUCAAAGAAGCCAGUUUCAAUGUUGAACCAGAAAAUAGUACAUUGAUAAGUUUUCACAAAACUAUUUUCAGGUACCUAACAUUUAGAUAUUUUUAAUACUUUAAAACCGUCUGCUGUCAGAGAAAACCACACUACACUGCAGCUAUAAUGGAUCACCAAUUUCAUAGGUAAGGAACGUCCCUUCGUUCUGCAGCCACAAGAGAUCCUAGAGUGAGAAAAAGAUGGUAUUCACUAAAACAAGCAAGUUCAUCUUAUAAAACCAUCAAAGUUCCGAAUUGUAGAGCCACAAGAAUAGCAAGCAGGUGGAGAAAUUGCAAACGUUGCUGAGACAGGAACAGUAAAGAAAGUUCUUGCCAGCUAGCAAUUGACGAAUCAAGCAAAUAUACAUUCAAGAUACCUUGACAUCAAAGACAUACUUGCUUGGCCAACUCUUUCGACACCAAAAUAUAGCACUGCUCAUAAAGACUUCAUGAGUAAGAAAUGCAUGUGUGAUAUUUGGAUUAUUAAUAUAUUCCACAAAUGUUUACUCUCAGAUAAAACCAAAUGUCCAAUCCACAUCAAACAUGGAAAAAAAAAAAAAGAGUUGCUCAAAAAUCUCUCAAAAUUAGAAGUCUGAGUGAACAACAUGAUGCCAAUGCUAUGAAAAUUUAACGGGCCAACAUGUUGAACUCAUCCAGAGAAGGAAAAACUUUUCUAUUAUGUAACUUGAUUGACAUCAGGCAAUUCAAGAACUAUUGAUCCAACAAUGAACUUUUCAAGUAAAAUCCUGUUUUAUGUCCUAAUGAACAUUGUCAAAACAAAUAUUUCAAACAAAGCUAUAAAGUAAGAAAUGGAACAUCUUUAAUGCAAAAUCAGUCACAAAAAGCAUCCUUCUAGACUUGGGAUGUCCCAUGAGCAGGCCCUUUCUUUCACAAACUGACAUUGUGAUACUCUAGGUUGGAAAAUUUCCAGUGACAACAAGUUAAAAAAAUCAGUCAGCCACAUAUCACUUCUACCUUUGAUAAAUUUAUUUCAAGACCAGAGAUCAGUUAACUAAGAUUGAAAAUGAAAUAGUCCAACCAUUCUGAUCCAAACCCAAAAUGAUUUCAAUAAUUAAGGUCAAUUUCAACUAUCAAACAAAUUCAGAAUUGUCAAGUGAUGCAUCGGUGAUACCUAACUAACAAAAACUAACUCAUAUUUGGUUUUUAACUGAAUUACAUUAAACCCACAAAAAAAAAAUUGCAUAUACACUCCAUCAAAAAUAAAACUUUUAAUAUAAAGAAAACAGCUUUUGUUCUAAAACACCUAACAAUUCAUCAAGAACCCAUUUCAUAAUUCUAAAUUAAAACACUUAAACAGCAAAAUGUACCUUUCACCUAGACUUCACCUAAGCUUCUGCUUCCCGGAACUUUUCCUAGCCGCUUCCUUAACCUUCUCAAUAUACCCUUCAAUAGGCGGAGUCAAAGUGGCCAUAAACCUAUUCGCCGGAAAUGGGGUCAAAUCCGGUACCAAAGCCGCCUCCUUAAGCUUCUCUGGCAAGGCCUCAAUCGCCUCCUUUUUCAUUCUCAACAAAUUACUCUCAGCCGCCUGCCUUGCCCUAUGCUUCCUCAUUAAAACCCUACUAUACUCCUUAGCCAAUCUCCGUCCAUCCUCCACCGUCAGCUCGUAUUUGGGUAUCUUAUCAGCAUCAAUAAGGCCCAAUGUGAUCAAAUCCAGCCCAGGUGUCCCCAUUAUCAUAGGAUCAUCAGGAACUCCCAUCGCUUUUCUUCCUCCUUUCUUCAAAAUCUCCAUUUCCCUUUGCCGUUCUUUGCUUAUUAAUCCCAAUUUUUCCCGCUCGGCUUCGCGGGCUCGCUCCUUGGGGGAGAGGUGACGGACUGGAGUGGGGGCAUUGAGGCAUUGGUCGUAGAGUCUUUGCUUUUCGUCGGGGAUUCGGCCACCUUUCGGGAGUGAAUCGUCGGUAGGAGCACCGCCUUUACCUUUUUUAGUGGAGACUUUGGAGCGCUUUAAAGAUUGGCCGGCUUUGAGUUUGGCUUUGCCCUUGGCGGUUCCGCUGACGGUGCAGCGUUGGAGGAGUCGGUGACCGAGUGUUGUUAGAGGUUUGGGAUGGCUUGCGAUGCGGAUCAUGGUUUUUCUGGGGUUUAAGAAACUCAAUAAUUAAAAUGCUUUCUAUUUCCUGAAAUGAGAAAAUGAAAGAAACUAAGGUUUUGGGUUUUUCAGAAAAUGAGAUACGGCCCCCCGCCCCUCCCGUGGAUUUGAUGUUAAACCUAGUUGGAGACCGUCUGAGUCCCCCAACCUACUAAUGGCCCAUAUUAUUUCCAAGGUGACUUUUACGGCCCAUUUAUUUUUGUGCAAACUAUUGUGUUAUGAAUUUAAACCAAAUGAAAUCAUAAUAGAAAAAAAUGCUAUAGUGUUUAUCAAAUAUUCUUUAUUACACUUAUUUUAUUUAUUUAUGAAUAAUAACAAUUAGUUAAAACUUGAACCAAACCAUAUGAUUAAAUAAAAAUUUAAAACUACUUCAAUUUUAAGUAAACACAAACUUUUUUUUAAAAAAAAAACAUAUUUAUCGCAAUUACGAGUCAAUUAGAGAUGACUUGAUUUAGUGUCAGGUUUGAGUUCAGCUCAGUUAAAAAACUCAAGCCUGAUGCUUAAUCAAAUUUUAUUUUUAUUUGUGUUUAAGCUCUACAUUUGAAUUAUUUAAGUUAGAUUUGAUUAAAGGUAAUUAUAAUUAACUUAAUUUAAAUUCAAAAUUGAUAUAAAAAUUUAAAUAAAUAUUAUAUUAUAUUAUAUAUAUAAUAUUGAAAAAUUCAAAAUGAAUCACUGGAAUGGAAUAUUAUAAAAUUUAAUUUGGUUCAACAAUAAAUGAGUCAAAUUUAAAUAAUCAAACGGGGUUCAAAAUAAUUUACCAAUAAUUUGCACAAUAACAUUAUUAAAAAAAUAAGAUUGGUUUGAAGGGAAGAGACUCAUGAGAGCCUAAACGCAGUGGAUUUUUCAAAAAUACCUACUUCCUCCAAAAACCGACAAAAUGCAUUUUGGAAGUAACUGAGCGCUGAGCAGCCAUCGUUUAGCUGUCUUUUAGCCCAAACCCAAAGGCAGCGGUUUAUCACCGGUAGCGUUGUUGUAGCUCAACGCACAUAAUAAAAACCCUAAAGAAGGAAGACAAGAACAUUUUCAGAGAAAAAAAUGGGCAUGAAAGCUGUGGAUUUUUCGCUUAGAAUCAACCCUUCUAUUUGCUUUACUCAAAACCCUCCAAAACCUUCCUCCAAGCUCGUCAGAUGCUCUCUCUCCCCUGACGGUGCCGCCACUGGUAAACUCUUUUCCGUUUUUCUUUUCCUUCUAAAGUUUGUCUCUUCCUUUUUUCUGUGAUAUUGGGUGGUUUUCAGGGUUGGCGGAGAGGCCAUGGAAGUUAGCGGAUGCAAGGCUGGUUCUUGAAGAUGGUUCUGUUUGGAGGGCUAAAUCUUUUGGUGCCUCUGGAACCCAAGUCGGUGAAGUGGUUUUCAACACUUCUUUAACAGGGUAAGAUGAUACAUUAUUUGAAUUUUGGUUUCCUUUUAGAAUAAACAAAAUUAAGGAAAUUUUGACUGCUUGUUGAUGCUUAAUAUUAUAUUUCAACAUGAGAUUGCCUUAGCUUUUGGUUUAAAAUCUUAAGAAAUUUCAAAGUUUCUGAAUGACAAUAAUGGAAUGACGAAAGAAGGUGGGAUUUAAUAAACUUAAGUUGCAGUAAAUUUUUUAAUUUGAAGCUGUGUUUGAUAAGAUUAUCUAGAUUUUGUGUAAUAAUGGAAUUAAUGAAGACUUCUUCCUUUAAUUCAUUUUUGUUUUAAGGCUUGUCAUUGCUUUUAUAGUGGAGUUAUAAACUUUGUUAUCUGUUAUGUCUUUGUUUUGUUUCCUUCUCGUUGUAGAGUAAAUAUGUGGACUAUGGAAACUGAAGUUUAUCAUCUGUAGGCAUUGUCUAAUUCAUCGGCAAAAUAUAAUUGUUAUGCAGGUAUCAGGAAAUUCUAACAGACCCUAGUUAUGCUGGUCAGUUUGUCCUGAUGACCAAUCCACAUAUUGGCAACACUGGAGUAAAUUUUGGUAAGUAAAUUUUACCUUUCAAAUCCUUGCAAGUCUUACUUGUUGAAAAACUAUAUAUGAUCUGAUGUUGAUGCCUACCCCAUCAGAUGAUGAAGAAUCAAGUCAAUGCUUUCUUGCGGGCCUGGUGAUCAGAAGUCUAAGUAUUAAGUAAAUUUCGUCCUCUUCUCAAUCUCUUAGAUUAUGCCAUCUACAGCUUUCACACAAAAGGUUUGCUCCUUUGUUUCCCAAAUUCUAAUUAAAUGUUUUGCAGCACUUCAAAUUGGAGAUGUGCAGAAACCCUUGGUGAUUACUUAGCAGAAAGAAAUAUUAUGGGAAUUUGUAAGUUGUAUAUAUGGCACUGGAUAUCUAGAUAGUUGACUGCUUAACCUAAGAUGUACUGUGACAAAUCUUUUCUUUGGGCAUAACUUCUGGCCUCCUUUGAUCUCAAUGCUUUCCUAUAAUGGCAGAUGAUGUUGAUACACGUGCAAUCACCCGCAGAUUGAGGCAAGAUGGAAGUCUUAUUGGGGUUUUGAGCACGGAACAAUCUAAACCAGAUGAAGAACUUUUGGAAAUGUCACGUUCAUGGGACAUUGUAGGUAAGAAUAGCUAUACUUAUUUAAAAGUUAUGAGCACUUUUUAAAGGAUAAGCAAUCUUAUUCUUCUUGUCUUUAUUUUGCAGGUAUUGAUUUAAUAAGCGGUGUUUCCUGCAAAUCCCCUUAUGAGUGGGUUGAUAAAACAAAAUCAGAAUGGGACUUCAACUCCAAUGGAAGAGAUCGAGAGACUUACAGAGUUAGUAUUAUUUUUUAAAUUUUAUGUUGGAGGUUUUAAUCCUUGCUUUGUGUCUGCUCUUACACUGCUCCAUUUCUUUUUAAAUUGAAGGUUAUUGCCUAUGAUUUUGGGAUCAAGCAUAAUAUACUUCGGCGCUUAGCAUCUUAUGGCUGUCAAAUCACUGUUGUCCCAUCCACGUGGCCUGCUGCUGAAACCCUAAAGAUGAAGCCAGAUGGAGUUCUUUUCAGCAAUGGUCCUGGAGAUCCUUCGGCAGUUCCUUAUGCUGUUGAAACGGUUAAGGAAAUUCUGGGAAAAGUUCCUGUUUUUGGAAUUUGCAUGGGCCAUCAGUUACUUGGCCAGGCCUUGGGUGGUAAAACCUUUAAGAUGAAGUUUGGUCACCAUGGAGGAAAUCAUCCUGUUCGCAACCUUCGCAAUGGUCAUGUUGAGAUUAGUGCUCAGGUGUGUUUAACUAGCCAAAGUGUUUCCAUGCAUAAAUAAGUCCCUUGUGUGCAUGUAUAGUUUUGUCAGCAUGGAUUUAAAUUUUACUCUGGGAACCAACUCCACUCCACUUAAACACCCCCUUGUCUCCUCCCCANNNNNNNNNNNNNCCCCCAACCCCCCCCUAACCCCUACCCCCCCCAAAAAAAAAAAAACCGAAAAACAAAGAAAAACAAGACACACACACACACACACAAAAAUGAAGAAAACAAAGUUUUGAUAUAUUCAUCUGAAUAUUGCAGAUCUUAUUUAUAUUUUUAUUGCAAUGUUUUGCAUUUAUACUAUUUAUAAGUUUGGAUGUAUAUCUACUUGGUUAGAUUUGUUUAAAAGUGCAUUGUAUCAUUUGGGUUGUGUUUUCACCUUAGAAUUUAUUAUUUGGCAGAAUCACAACUACGCAGUUGAUCCUGCAUCACUCCCUGAGGGUGUGGAAGUGACUCAUGUCAAUCUUAAUGAUAGAAGCUGUGCUGGUCUUGCAUAUCCUUCUUUAAAUAUUAUGUCUCUUCAGUACCAUCCUGAAGCAUCCCCAGGACCUCAUGAUUCAGAUUGUGGUGAGAACUUUGUCCUACAUCUAAUUUUGACGUAUUGGUUUUCAGUUUUUCCUUUUUAACCAAGAUCAAAGAUUCCCAUGUUUGUUAAAACCAUUUCUUUUGCUCAACACACGUUGUUUCUUGCCACAGCUUUUAGAGAAUUCAUAGAGCUUAUGAAGUCAACAAAACAAGCUGCUUGAGGGAAUCUGUGAUAUCCAAAGGUUCAAAUUUUUGGGUAUUGUCUUUGAUUGGCGAUGUUUUGAAGAGCUAUUGUUUGGUUGAUAUUUGCUUUAUCUAGAGAGAAGGAAGAAGGGAGUGCUCUAUGUCACAAUUUUGUAUGAAAUAGUUUAGAUACUUUGUAUGUUUUCUAUUUUUGAACUGUACUUGAUGACUUAUAGAAAGAUAAACACUAAUUAUUGGCAUUUACUUUUGGCUCACAGUACUCUUUGUAGUUUUAGCAUAAUAUUAUCUUGUCUUCAAAGUGAGGCGGCAUGUUCAUUUUCCUAUUACUAGAAUGGGAGUAGGGUAUUGUAUUGAGAUCCUGGUGUUAAGGAGAUGUGUGAAAAUAAUCUACUCUACUGCUGUUAAGUCCCAACAGCACGAGUGUAUAAUGCUCACCUCUGGUGAAGAUGGAAGAGACAGCUGCUAGCACUUGUCACUCUGUAUCCGUAUUGGGUUGCACUUAUGUGAUAAGUAGAUCCACAAUUCAAAUUAUGUUUUAGCAAGAUUCUGCAGGUGAAAAUCACUUCUGAAGGUAAGCAGGAAGUAGCUAGAAAUGUACAUGGUACAAUCAGCAACCCUCUAAUAAAACAAGAAAUUUUCCAAAUAUACAACCAUUUGGAACAAAAACCGGCCAGGAUGCAUUUGAUUGAGAAGAAUCAGCAUUUAUCAUCUAUAUCUCAGGCAUAUGAGGGAUAAUAUUUAUUUAAAAAAGAAAUACUAAUAACAACAUGAAUUUUAGUUAAAAUCACACUAAGCAAAGAGUAGGAAAUGCUGGCCGGCUUCAAUCCAUCGGCCUAAUAUUGGCUUUGUUAAAGUUAAAAUGUCUAAAUGCUAAAUAGUCCGACUGUUUCACAUAAAAUGACAUUUGAAAAGUCAGCCUGGGAAGCUGAAAUUUGAUUCAGGUUGUCUUGCAGCUUUCUGAACAUGACUGUCAUCUCCAAAAUAACUAGUUCUUUUUAGGGUCUUGCCAAAUAAGAAUUGGUGGCAGGCAGGCACCUCAAUUUAAAAAUGUAGCAAAGCAACCAAUUGAAGGAUGAAGAAUCAGGAAAGCGUGCCAAAGCACCAAAUGCGACUAGCUUCAUUCUACAUUCUUUCACUGUUUCUGUUUUCUUUUCAAAUUGUUCCAUUGUUGAUCGGGUAGGUAGGGACUAACAUUUGACGAGCUGCUUCUCUUCAUGGCCAGAGUUGCAAUUCCAUCAGGUUGUUUGUAGGGUGAUUGGAGUAUUCGCCUUUGCACCUGAAUUUCAUGGCAGGCAGUAUAUGGUUAAAUAACUAAAAACAAGUUAGUUCAUCCAAUAUAUUUUUAUUAUUAUUUGCAAGAUUAAAUUAUUACAAAAUAAAUUAGGAAGCAUUCUUUGCAUGCAAAAGUUGAAAAGAAAGUAUAAGUGAGAGAAUUAGUAACUGAAUUGAGCAAAGUCAUCAGUCCAUCUUAAACAUUAAACAACUGACAUGGUUAAGUAAUAUUGUAAAUGAAUAAGACAUCAAUCCGUUAAACCAUUGAAAUCCAAAAAAUACCGAGUUAGAUGUGAUGCAAACUAAGAGAUUGGCAUUAUAUAUUAAUAUGAAUUUUAUGAAGCAAUGCAUGGAAAGAUCUACUCUCAAAAAGUGUCAUUCACCCUAGCAGCAACUAUUAGCCAGUUCAUAUGAGAAGCAAAGAUUUCAUGUGUGAAACGGGCAGACAUACAAAAUCAAGCAAAUAGUAUCCUAAAAGAAAUGUAAAUAAAUCUGCCAAUAUUGGUGUCCAAGAAUCACCAAUAGCAACAUGGAAGCAAAGAUAAAUCACAAAAGGCAAACAUGAAACUAUUAACUUCUUUUGGAAGCUCAUCCUUAUGCAGGAAAGUCUUCAAGAAUGAGAGGUAAUUUUCUUAUUUCCAUGAUCCAGAAACCAAAAAAGAAAAAAACUAUAGAGCAUUUUACCUGAAGAAUAGUUUCCAUUGCCUUGAAAUAUUAAGAUUUAGGAGAUCAUUUCGACUGUGUUUGAUACCAUGAACAUAAAAAAGAGAGUAUGACAUCAAAAAAUGGAAUGCUUCCAGGUAAGUGGAAAGCAGUAGGAUCUAACCAAUAUUAAUACCAAAAGGACCUACAAUGCUAUUAAGAAGACCUGCCAUUUACCACAUUAUGUUUUCUGCUAUAUUUAGCUCAUCGUCAUAAAGAGAAGGGCAUACAGUUAUCAUCUAAUAUAAAAAUAUAAUCAAAACUUAGAAUCCUACAGGGAAAAAGUUUUAAUGAAUAAAUACAAUGUAUUAACUCUUAUCAAUUGUCGUAAGAUUCUUCAAUUAUUGGAGGUCAAAGAAGAUUUUCCAGGAAGCUGGCAGCAGCUUGGCCACCAGCAAUCCCCAGUACAGAAUCUACCGUGUAUGAUCUCUUGAGCACCAGUUCCAGUCUCUGCUUAAAUAGGCAAAUUCUUGUGCAACACUGAAUUCAAAACUAGGAAGUGUUUGUUCACUGGGUUUUUGAGAUGGCUGAGUGAACUGGAGCUUCUGAAUUCUCCAGCUCACUGAUGUGGUUCUUAAGCUUUUACAAGAUGAGGGUCACUAGCUUCCUCCCUGUUUUACGAGUUUCAUAUUGGUUUUGGGAAAAACAAAUCUCCUCUCUUCUGUUGCUUUGGCUGGUUGAUGACUUGUUACAGGGGCAACUGACAUGCAUGCUAUGGAUAUCUGAUCUGGCAAUGGACUGCUAGAUCUGAUGUAAACAAUUAGCACUUGUUGCACCCAAAGUUGAGAAAAGAAAGGAGUAAUAAGCUCAGCAAAGCAGAAACAAUAACCACUAAAGGAUGCUGCAGGUUGCCAGAACUGAAGAACCGUCUCCACGGAUUAGACCAGUUCCAACUUUACUCAAUAUUGAGCAUGCUACUCUUUAGAAAAUCUUCUGACCAUCAAUGUGGAGCUGCUUUAUCAUCUAAGAGGUUCCAGAAAGAAGCUGAACCACAGAGCUAUCCUGAGAAAAAUAAUCCCAGUAAAAAGUGUGAAAUACAAGGGAAGUUGACAAAAGUUUCAAAUAGAUAUGAAAAAAGAGUGGAGAAAUUUUGAUAAGUAGGAGUGAAGCAGUGAUGUCAUUUCUGUUUUCUCAUUUUAUUUUUCCAAACAUGAAAAUAGUACUUCCUAUAAUGUUUCUGAUAAGCAAAUCAAGAAGAUUGUGGUUUUCUGCUUCUCUAAAAGAAUGGUUAAAACAAAAUUGUAUUUUUACACAGAAAAGUGUCCGCUAUCAAGGGGCUUACUUUUUAAGAAGCAAUCUAGAAAACCCAUACUUAACCCUAUGUUUGACUCUAGACCAGAGAAGAAAGAAAUGAAAAGAAAAUGGUAAAUUUGUCUUCCAACACUUUGAUAAUAUCAGUGGAGAAAAGAAAAAGAGAGAAUAUUAUAUUCCACACAUACAUGGACACAGCUAUCCACAUGCUUCUUUUCUGAUGUUUAUUUGUGUUAGUGAAAUACCAAAGCUAUCCCCAAGUGGGAGGUGGGGCAGCGCCAGUGGGGAUUACAGCUUUUAUGUCUCAGAUUAUGGUCCAUAGAGAUGAUACAAGAUGAACAUAAAUGCAAUAUGCCAUUUGAUGGCAGAGGAAAGUAAUAACAUCCAGAAUGCACUCCAUUAUGUUUACAGGACCUGCUCGUUCAAGCUUUUUUCUGUCCAUGCACCACAACAGUAAAGCUGUCAUGACUUGGGCCCAAGCACCACAGGCCAGCAACUUCUUGGGCCAAAGCAACAUGGCCCUUAAAAAGUUUAAGCUAAAGUUACUAGUAGCAAUUUACUUGGACCCUUAUAUGGUCUUAAAAUCACUUGCAUCAAAUGUGGAUAAGGUAACAAAAUCCCAUCCACUCAAAUACUUGAUGUCUUUCAUCAAGGCCACACAUCCACAAUCACAAUCAAGGCCCACUCCAUAGCACCAACAUUUCAUUAGCACCAUGUGGAGCACACACCGGGCUGACACAUGUUUUGAUACCAAAUGCAACAAGUUAAGCCCAAGCACCACUAACUUAGUAAUUUUUCAGGCUUAAACCACAUGACACUUAAAAGCUUAAGCUCAAAUUGUUAGUAGCGAUUGACUUGAACCUCUAUAUGAGUCUUAACAAUCACACUCACAUAAGAUGUGGGAUGGGAUAUCUCAAAAGCACAAACUAAUGGUGCUCUAAAUCCUAUCUAAAGAAUUUAAAAGGAAGCAGUGUCGUCAACAUGGACAAUUAUUUUAAGUUAUAAAGGACACAGGCAAGCCAAAUAAGAUGCCACCUUCCAAUGACACUUUCUUCUUCUCUUUUUGUUCUUGUUCCUCUUCAUACUGCUUUCUUCGUUGGGUGCUUGCUUAUGGUUUUUUAACCAGGCUAGUAAAUCCAUAAAUCCAAGAGCUCAUAAUAGGAGAAGAAGUACCAAAGAUAACGAGACAAGCAUAUCUUAAUUUGAUAAGAAGAGUUGCGACAUUAUGUAAAGUGUGUCAAAUUGAAAGUGUGCAGUAAAUUUACCAACAAGAAACCCACAUCAGAAUUAUACCAAAGAUUGGCAUUUAGCAAUCAUACUUCGACAGUGGCAUAUAUUUAUCCACUUCAGUAAAUGUGCAACAUCAUCCAUUGUUCUUUUGGCCAACAUGAGAUUAAUGGAGCUAAGCUACUGCCAAUGACUAUUUUUCUUCUCUUCUUUAGCAUCUCAAAUAAUAUCACCAGACUAGUAAAAUAUGACACAAAAAGCUAUAACCUAUUUCUUUCAUUCCAAAUAAUCAGAAAAAUAUACUAAUAACACAUCAAUACGUUGAUUAGAUAAACUUCAUCCUCUUUGGAAACCAAAAAGUAAGAUUAUGAAUUAAACAACAAAGAAGUCCUCUUGCUCCAAGAGAAGAUGUGCUUGGUAGCUAGUUCAGCAUUACAAUAGUAAUUAAUCAGUAUAGUUGUUUUGGCAUCCAGAGGUACUUUGGUUAUUUUAUGUAUUGCCGGAAUGGCCCUUAGAGUUUUAUGUUCAUUCAAACUGUUGGAUUUUAAAGUAUUCUUUAUUUUAUAUUAGUUGAGUUCUAUUCCUGAGUCAAAUGGUUAGGAAUCUAGUCCACCAAGUAGGACAAGUUAGUAAUUGCGUAUUAUAUCUCUUUGUCCGGUCAAAAAUGGUAGAGUUGAUUUUAAUAAAGAUUUGAGUUCAUGAGAAUUCUUGGAGAAUUUGUGAUUGAGUUUUCCCUCCCUUCUUAUUCUCUCUUGCUACAAGAUUCUCUGGUGACUGUUCACAGAUUUGAAACGGCAGCAAUCAUUUGCUCUAUUCUAAUUGUACUGCUACAAGAAAAUUCCAGCAACCCUUCCCUGACUUUCCAGCCCUCUUUUGAGUUCUGAUCUCAACUGAAUUUAUCCUAGUUCAAUGCAAAACCCUAACCUUAAUUUUACCAUAAGCCCUUAACUUAUAUAAAGGGCAUUUUAUGGUCUAGACACCAUAUACCCUAACUGGGCCAACAGUUUCCAGUCUGUCCUACAUCAUGUAUACAUUUAGCCUAUCUGCAACUGUCAAACAUCAUUCUUAAGGUGAUCACGAUCCUUACAUUGAUGUUUCUACAUCCCUUAUAGAAUGUUGAACAAUAGAGUAAAAAUGCAAUUCAGAAAUGCACUUAAUACUUCAAAACCCUUUUCUUGAGGAGACCAAACUUAAUGCAAUUUUUGUGAUCAAAACAGGAUAAGCUUGUUAAUUUGAUGAAUAUUAUUCAGAAAGCAUUAAAUUUGUAAUUAUGAAAUGGUUUUAACUUGCACAGUUUCCUCCUAAGAAUACCUUGCAUCUUCUCUUCAAGCUGCAUGAUGCUUUCAUGGAGCAAAUUAAUUUUCCAAACCUGAAAAUCAAGUUAAAAAUAAGGAGAAGAAACACCAUUAAAAGAAAAAAGCAGAGAGGUAUCCAGCGUCUUUGGAGCAAAUUGCAAAACAGAAUAAAAAAAAAUUUAACCUGAAGUUGUAAAAAUUCAUCUCUCGUCCUCCAGUAUCAGAUCUCGUGAAUACAAAGGUUUGCGCAGCUUCACAUCCUCAAGCUACACAGUAAUUGCAAGCAAAUUCAGCAUAUUGAAUUACUCGAGUACCAAAAGGAUUAUUACGUGCUAUUAUAAGUACAUACUUUGAACACUCAAAUCUUUACACAAAAAUUAAACAAGAUAAGAGGAAAGAAUGAUUUAUCCCUUUAUGCCAGCUUAAACACUGCACCACUCUCGAACACUAAUUUUUACAUCAACAUCCAAUUCCCAACAGAAACCUCAUUGCAUAUCACAUAUAUGAAAAGAAUCACCAUAAGUUCAUCCAAGUGCUAAAGUAUCAUAUGCGUGGUUUCAAUACCUGAGUCCUGAAAAAGCAAAUAACUUCUACUCUUGUUGUGAGAAAGCUUUCCUUCUUCAGGCCUGCCACAUACUAACAGGCCACUUUCAAAUAUAAAGAUAAGAUAAAAGGUCAUGUCUGAGCAUUUCUAUCCUGCAAGACAAAAUAUAAUGACAAUCACUCAGUAGCAUUCUAUGAUUCAAUGUAACUUAUGUUUUAGAUAAAUCACCCACUUGAGUCACAGAGGUCCUUACUUCUCACAACUCUCUUGGCUAUCAAGAUGUAAUGGUGCAACAUGGUAUGGGUAUCUGGCUGUAUGCCCUUACUUAGCAGUUCAUUAACAAGGGUUACAGCUUUGUCUAUAUAUCCUCCUUUAAAAUAGCCUGAAAUAAGAGCUGUAUAUGUCACAGUAUCAGGUUCCAAUCCUCUAUCUAUCAUUUCGUCAAAGAUCCUACUUGCAUCCUGAAGAUUGUUUGUCUUACAGAACUGAUCAAUCAAAACCGUAUAGCAAACAACGUCAGGUUCUACUCCCAUGUGCUUCAUUUCACUCCAAAAAGGUGAAGCAACCAUUAUUGUCUUGCCAUUCUUUUGUGUCACAUCAGGAUUAGAAAGAGACCUCAAAUUCAUUUUCAUAUGGCUGUUAAGCAAGACUGUAUAAGUGAUAACAUCAGGUUUAAUCCCUCUCUCCUUCAUAUUAUUGAAAAGAUCCAAGGCCUUCUGCAAAAGUUUCACCUUACAAUAUCCAUUUAUCAUUAUUGUGUAAGUAACUAGAUCAGGUGUUAGCCCCUUCUUAAUCAUAAUAUUAAACAACAGCUGGGCAAUACUCAAAUUUCCGGCCUGACAAAAUGCACCAAUGAGUUUACAGUACAUUAAUUUGGUAGGUUCAGCAUUCAAAGACAACAUUAUCUUGAGUAACAUAAGAGCUUUGUCAUUAUCACCUUUCAUGCAAAGACUACUGAGGAGUUUUGAGCAAGAAGCCUUUGUCACUAGAAAUCCCUGCUCAGACAGCUUAACAAAUAAUUUAAAGGCUUCUUUUGUUAGGCAUGCUUCACGAUAACCAUCAACUAAGGCAGCAUAAUUUUCCAAACACUUUCCCGGCAAACUAUCUAGAAAAUUUUCAGCUUCCUUCACCUUAUCUCCCAUACAUAAGCCUUUAAUGAUCAUGUUGUGUAUGACAGUAUCACAUUUCAAGCCUUGUGCCUCCAUAGAAUUUAAAAGAUCAACUGCCUUUUGUGCAUGGCCAUUUCUAGCUAAGCCGCCAGCAAGUACACUAUAAAAAACAAUAUCAGGCUUGUGGCCGUUGUUCUUCAUCUCCUUGAACAAGUUCCAUGCAUCUUCAACUUUACCUUGACGACAAUAUCCAUUGAUCAAAGUGGUAUAGUUAAUAACAUCGGGAGAAAUCUGUUUACCCUUCAUCUCAUCAAGCAAUUUUUUAGCUUCUUCCACUUGUCCUCCCUUGCAGAGAGCAUCUGCUAUUACAUUAUGACAAACCUCAUCAAGAAAAAUCCCAAUGUCCCUAAACUCCUUAAAUUGAUUUACAGCUUUAAAAUCCAGGCCCAUCUGACACAGGCUUUGAAGUAUUGAGGUCAAAAUCACACAGUUCGUUUUGAUACCCUUUGAUACCAUUUCAUGGUGAAUAUCCAAAGCUUUCAAUAUAUUCCCACAUUUGCAGUAUCCUCUUAUCAGGGCACCAUAAGAAGUCACAUCAGGAACAACCCCAUCGUUUUCCGCAUCAAAUAAGACAUCUUCAGCUACUUUCAAUUUCAUCUCCUUACUGAAGCCCCGAAUCACAACACUAUAAGCGAAGGGAUCAAGAGGAACCUUUGCCUUCCUGCACACUUUAAGCACUUCAUAACCUAAUUCUGUCCUACCAUGCAUACAAAGCCCUUCAAUAUAAGUUGUGUAAGCAAAGGCAUUUGGUCUAACUUCUGCUUCCUCCAUCUCUCGAAAAACAUUAAAAGCUUCCUCCAAACUACCCUUUUUGCAAAGUGCCUUAAUUAGAAUGCUAUAAGUAUAAUCAUUUGGCUUCAGUCCAAUUCUUUUUAACUGUUGAUAAGUAGCUACAGCCAUAUCAAUUUUCCCACAGUGAAUCAAACGAUUCAUAAGAAAAUUACAUGAAAAUAUAUGUGGAACAAAUCCACAUCUUCUAGUUUGAAACAAGAUAUUAAUAACUUCAUCAAACAUCUCGACACUAACAUAUGCCUUAAUUAAUGCAUUGGACAAUCGAACCAACAAGUAUGAGUCUUCUCCCUCAAGCCCCUCUUCAAGAGCUUCACACAAAUCCAUAAUUUCAAAGCCUAAACGUUUCUCUUUCCUAAUGAUUUCCAACAACACCGAAUCCAGUUUCCUGUCCCAACCCCAAUAACACAAUAUUCUCACAAUAGCAGUGUAUGUACAAAGAUCAUGAGAGAACCCAUCUUCAUUCAAUUGGUUAAAAAAUGACAACGCCUUAUUGGGCUGUUUUAUUAAAUUAUUCAAAGUUUGAACAACUUCAACUCUAUCUAAUUCAAAGAAGUGGUCACUGUUAUGAUUCAUAUUUGGGAUACUGACAGUUUCUUGCUCAUCAGAUGAACUGGAAGCUAAUUGGGCAAGAGCAUAGUGCAUCUGCUGGAAAACAAAGUAUUACAACAUUCUCAGUUUCCCUUUUUUAGGUUACAUUUAAUUCUUAUUUCUUACUUUUUGCUUCUGGAAUAGAAAAAAAAAAAAGGCAAAAGUGCAUUUAAGUACCAAAAAAAGGAAAAUUUUGAAGAACUAAAAGUUAAAUAUGUAAUUUUUUUAGAGAAUAAAGUGCAUGAUUUUACUUUUACAUAGAACAAAACGAUAUUAGAGUUGGUGUUGCAUUUUAGUUAUUUACUCCCUCUAUCCAUAAAGUUGUCACUGACUUUGUUUUGAUAAAAAAUUUCAACUUUCACCCCUAUAAUUUAAAUAUUUUAAUUAAUUAGAUUUUACAAUAUAUAUAUAUAUAUAUAUAAACUACUUCAUUCAAAGUUGUUAAAAAACAAUUUUAUAAUUUUUAUAAUUAUAAAAAUAAAAUAAAAUUAAAAAUUUUCAAAGUUUAAAAUGUUUUAUCAGCAAUUAGUCAACCAAUGAGAACUUUAUUGGGACAGGAGUAUUCAUUUCUAAUCAAUUAAGAUUUUGGUUUUUACUAUUUACUUUUACUUUAUAGCAAAAUUUUAAGAAGCGAAAUGCAAAGAGCAAAAGCAAAUACUAAGUCCUUAGCUCAGUGCCUGAAGUAAUGAAUUAUGAAGAGAAAAUGGAGAGACAAAUCAAGAACAGAACCUCUUUUGUAGCAGUAGGAGAGUAAGUUGGAAAGGCCGAAAGUGCAGGCCGUAUCUUCUGUAAGGACUGUCCCAACAUCUAAACAAACAAAACCAUCAAUACCCAUAAAUCAAAAUGGGAAAUAUUGCUCAAAAAUAAAGAGAAGUGGCAGUACCAGAAGGAAAAGAGCUUGGUUGCAGUAGUCGAACUUAGUCGGAAAACGGCUCAAAUUUCAAAUACUUAGGAUAGAAUUGGGGUUAUUCGAUUGGAAUCUAUUAAAAGAUGGAGAAGCUAGAGGGCUUUCUGGGUUCCAAAAUGAGGGAGAGUUUUUUAAAAGUUCGGUGUCGUGAGGCAGGCAGGCUGGUAGCUGCCGGGGAGAAACACAAAGCAAAGAGCUGCUGUGCUGAGGAAGACGUGCCCAGGGUUUACUCAGGGUUUUACGAAGAGCGUCCGACAAAGGUACCUUAAAACUAAAACUCCUCAACAUAUCCGCCCUUCAGCUAACUGCUACCUAAAGGUGUUCAGGGCCGGGUUACCCGUAAGUUUAACCCGCCCAAUAUGAUUAGGUUUGGAUUCAGUUCCAAAAAAGUUAUUUUCUCAAUGAAAUAUAAUUUUUUAAAAAAAUUAUUUUAUGUAAAUAAAGCCUAACCCAUGACUACUUAAGAAAUGUACCAAUUUUAUAUAUUUUUUUGGUACCAUUUUUCAUAAUUGCAUUAGAUACCUAUACUUUCUCUAAAAACAUCACACGUGGAAUAUCAAAUUCUAGGCGUAUACAGGGGCGAAGGGAGAGGGUAGCGGCCGCUACCUCUCAAUUUUUAUUUUAUUUUUUAUUUUAGUAUAUAAAAUUCAUAAUAUGUAAUUUUCUCACCCUUACACAAAAUAGAUGAGCUAGUUUGAAGUAGUGGUAAAAAAUUUAAGUUAAUCUUCAAAAGUUAGAUUCAAUUCUUUUUAAGUUCUAAUUUUAGAAUUUUUUUUUUAUAAGUAUAGGCAUAAUAUUUAUAAUAACAAAUCAAUAUAUCAUAUCAUUAUUAAUCAUAAUAUAUCAACAUAUCAUAUCAAUUAUGAUAUAUUAAUAUGACACAUUAACAUUAUACAAUAUAAAAUAAUAAAUAAAAUUUAACCUAAAUCAAUUAUUAAAUAUAAAAAAUUAUUUAACUUAAAAUAAUAAUAUAUAAAAUUUAAUCAAACAUAAUUAUAAAUAUAAACACUUAUUUUAAUUUUCUUAAAUAAUUUAAAAUUUUAUUUAUACAUAAUGCUAUAAAGAUACUAAACUUUCUUUUUUUUUCUCCUUUAUAAAUAUAUUAUUUAUAAUUUAAAAAUUUAUAUUUAAACUAUUAAUAAUAUUUUAUAUUAUAAUUUAAUUUAAUUUUAAUAAUAAUUAAUAUAAUUAAUUUUUUAUUUUAAAACAAAUUAUUGAAUUAUUGAUCCGACCUAUAUCAACAUGCCAAUUAUUUCCCCAGAGAUGCCUUCGAAGCCAAGUCAAUAAAACGUAACUUGACAUCCCACUCUAGGUGACGUUUCACCUUCACCACCUAAACCCAUAAAUCAGCAAGGACAAACAUGCAUUAUUUCUAAUAUUUUCCCAUAAUAAUCACAACUGAGCUGACAAACUGUCAUAAAAAAAGAAUUCAUGAUAAGAUUUCAAAACCAAGUAUCAAAUAUAAUUUCCAUAAAAGUUUAUGACCGCAAACUGACACUAAUUUAAAUUUUCUCGUACAAUAGCUAUUAACAUUCAUGUUCUCAGGGGAAAAAAACCUUGAAUAUGAAAAUUAAAGAAAAUAAAAGAAAGAAGCAGGACAAUCACUCUCCAGCUACAAACAUCCUAUUAAGCAACAUGGUUGAAAGAUUCAUGGAAAGGAAGGAAUUGAGAGCACCAAUUGUCUGCCCACCACCAUAUCCAGAGGGCCAGCAUCUCAAUCGCGGUGACACCAGCGGUCAUCACAAGUCACAACGGAUGAAAGGCUUACAUAAUACAUCAAGAUCAAAGUACACCCUCCUUCAAUGAUCUCCACCUUCAACACUUCCCCACAUCAACCAGACUUUGAGUUCACUUGACACAGGACACAAAAAAGCCAACUAAAUGGAAAAUGUAACUCACCAUCAAAGCACUAAUAAAACUUAGAAGCACUUCCUGUGGACAAUGGAUGGACCAGACUCAUCAUACUCGCCCUUGGAAAUCCACAUCUGAUGCAACAGGUAAAGCAAGAAUGUCAGUCUUGGCCCUCUUGGACAACCAACUUAUGCAUAAAACAUAACCGAAUGUAAGUAAAAAUAUUUCACCUGCUGGAAGGUGCUGAGCGAUGCCAAGAUAGAUCCUCCAAUCCAAACACUGUACUUUCUCUCUGGUGGUGCAACGACCUUAAUCUUCAUGCUGCUUGGAGCAAGGGCAGUGAUCUCCUUGCUCAUUCGGUCUGCAAUACCAGGGAACAUAGUUGAACCACCACUGAGCACAAUGUUACCAUAGAGAUCUUUCCUGAUAUCCACGUCACACUUCAUGAUAGAGUUGUAGGUAGUCUCAUGGAUUCCAGCAGCUUCCAUCCCAAUGAGAGAUGGCUGGAAGAGGACUUCUGGACAACGGAAUCUCUCAGCUCCAAUAGUAAUGACUUGUCCAUCAGGCAACUCAUAGUUCUUCUCAACAGAUGAGCUGCUCUUAGCAGUCUCAAGUUCCUGCUCGUAGUCCAGGGCAACAUAAGCAAGCUUCUCCUUCAUGUCACGAACAAUUUCCCGUUCAGCAGUGGUGGUAAACAUGUAACCUCUCUCAGUAAGAAUCUUCAUCAAAGCAUCAGUGAGAUCACGACCAGCAAGGUCUAGACGGAGGAUGGCAUGUGGAAGGGCAUACCCU